UGGGCAACCUGCCCUUCUCAUCGGAAUAAGCGUUGGAAACGACGUCUAAUGCCGAAUACGACCUCCUUUCGCAUGAUCGGAGGUGGAAAGCUCCGGCGGAGAAGGAUGAGCUCGCGGCCUAUCAGCUAGUUGGUGUGGGUAACGGCCCACCAAGGCGACGACGGGUAGCCGGCCUGAGAGGGUGACCGGCCACACUGGGACUGAGACACGGCCCAGACUCCUACGGGAGGCAGNAGU
rnacentral:rRNA from 1 species